UCAAAUCAAAUUACAUUGUGGUGAGUAUGGAAUUUAGUUUACCAACUGCCUCAAUCACAUAUUGUGACACAAGAUAAACAUGAUUGUAUAUAUAUAGUUGCAAGUCGGUCAUGAGAUGCUACACUUGGUAAAAUUGAUCGGAUAAUUUUAAAUCGUACAUCUAUACAAUUAAUCACCCACGCUAAGCAUCCACACAAUAUGUGUUUGUGUUAUUACACGAAAAUGAAUUAAAAUCACCCUAUGUAUUUCAAUGAAUGUAGCAUCUACAAAACCAGUAGGAGUGGACGAUAGUUAAACAUAUCGAUUUCGUUUAUUUAUUUUGUUGAAAUACAAUGACCAAAAGACAUCGAUAAAAAAAAACAAAAUACAAUUAAGACCAAUAGCAAACUCCAUAAAUGUCUGUGCCGUGACUACGAUAAAAUCCAUCUUCCCUCACCAAAUAAUUUUCUACUCUAUAUGUCUUCAACCAACUAGAUCUAAACACGUCAAAGGAACAUCGCUUCGAUCCCCACUGAAAGCGACAAAAGUAAAGAGUCGUCCCGAUCCAAUUAGAACGGAACGACCAACUCACCUGCUCACCUGAAUUAAGUCUCUGAUUUGCGACCACAUCAUCUUUUGACGCACAGUAAACAAACAAGGAAGCAGAAUUUGUGGGGAGUUCGUUAUAAAUAUGAAUAUGAUGUUUUCUGAGGAAGGUAUUUGCUUCAAUCAUAUGAACCAAGUAGAAGAAAAUCACAAAUAUGUAGAAAAAAUUAUUCAUAUGUGUAGAAGCCAUUGUUCUUUUGAUGAAUUGGUUGUGGUUGGAUGGAUUCAUUUUUUGGGCCAAAUUGUCACUUUAAAUAGAUGUUUAAAGAUUGUAUUAUUCAAAGGCAAUCCAAAAUGAUACAACUAACUUCUAUUUAUAGUUAACUAGCUAACUAAAAGCUCUAAUUAGCAGCUAACAACUAAUCCACGUGGACGCUCGUGAUUCGUGUAUUGAACGCCUCUUCUUAACCAUGCCUCUUGAUAGAAAAAUGUGUUUUUAUAAGUAAGUAAAGUGUUUAUCUAUUCUUUUCUUUCAUCCAAACGACGCCGUUCGUGUCUAACAGUCAUAACCGUUACAUUGGCAUAUUUUUUUGUAGGAAUUUGAUUAUAUUGUAUUUAGAAUUUUUAUAUAUUACUCUCAUCAUUACGAGAGUUCUCGUAUAUGUUUAUUUUAUUCAGUGCAUCUAAAUGGUUAUUGGUUGGUCAUGAAUUCCUUCGUUACCAAAUAAAAAAUUUAAAAACGAAACGUUUAUCCAUUCGAGACAAUAAACAUUAAAUUCCACAAUAUAUUCUUCACGGAGGGGAUUUAACAAUCAAUGUUUAGGAGAUCAUAACUUGGAUUUGAAUAUAUCGAAUGUGGUGUUUGGUCGUCAAAACUUUUGCAAAGAGAUUACGAGUGCAUUGAUUUUUCUCGUUUGAAUGUACUUCUAUAUUAUAAAAUUUAAAUUACAUUAGACAAUUCGACAUUGUUAUAUAACUUAUAUUUACCUAAAUCUAUCCUAUUAGGAUAGGUAAUUCGCUUAAUGAAGAUGAAAUUAAAGUUAUUUUAGAUAUUAUUAUAAUUUUUAAAUUUACUGCUUAAAGUUGAUUUUUCUUUUUCUUUUUCACCAAAUUGGGAACAGUAUAACGUAACACAAUAAGAUUAUUGUAGUGUUUUCACAUUAAUCUUAUUGUGUUGCUAGUCAACGGUGUGUAAAUAAAAUAAUUCAAAAGAAAAUAGUUAAGAAAAAUUUAGAAAAAAAUAAAUAAAUAAUCAAUAGCGAAGACUGGUGGUGGCCCGAAAAUAUUCAUAAUAUUUUUUUGUAAAAAGAUUAAAUAAAUAAAGUCAACGUCGGAGACCGCCGUUAACCGACCUGCAAAAAUAAAGAUUUGAUUUCUCAUUAAUCUAUUAGUAUUUUUUUUAUUCUUUGCCGGCGUACAAAAACCUACCUGCAAAUUUAACCUAGAUGAUAGAUGGUAAAAAUCUUUAUAAAUUUAUCAAUUAAGUUGUUAAUUUCGUUAAUGGAUAAUAAAUAGACUACAUAUAUUUUCCCUUAAAUUAAUGAAGAGAAUUAUAUUACCUAAUAUCAAAAUGCAAUGAAAAGUUUGUCUUCAUACUUUCGAAUACGACUAGUUUUUGCAAGUCUGUAGAGUGGACUAUUAAUUAAAUAUAUCGAAUUUAUUUAUUUAUUUUGUUGAAAUACAACUACCAAAAGAUGUUGAUAUAAAAAAAAAAAUUACAAUUAACUCCAAUCGUGACGAGAUUUUUUCAAAUCAGUUAAAUAAUUGUCUUGGUCGUGGCUACGGUAAAAUCCAUCUUCCCUCGCAACAUAAUUGAGUGUGUUAUAUGUCGCAUACCAAUGAGCAUCAAACACAUCAAACGAAGAUUGCUUCGAUCCCCACCAAAAAUGACAAAAGUAGAGAGUCGUCCCUAGCCAAUUAGAACGGAACGACCAGCUUAACUGAUCACCUGGAUUAAGUGUCUGAUUUGCGACCACAUCAUCUUUCGACGCGCAGUAAACAAAUAAGGAAGCGGAAUUUGUAGGGAGUUCGUUAUAAACAUGAAUAUGAUGUUUUUGGAGCAAGCUAGUUGCUUCAAUCAUAUGAACCAAGU
rnacentral:lncRNA from 1 species